rnacentral:rRNA from 1 species
UACGGGGGGAGCAAGCGUUUUUUUUUUUUUUUUUUGUUCGGAUUACUGGGCGUAAAGGGCGCGUAGGCGGCCACCGCAAGUCGACUGUGAAAUCUCCGGGCUUUUAACUCGGAAAGGUCAGCCGAUACUGCGGGGCUAGAGUGCAGAAGGGGCAACUGGAAUUCUCGGUGUAGCGGUGAAAUGCGCAGAUAUCAGGAGGAACACCCAUUGCGAAGGCAGCUCGCUGGGACGUUACUGACGCUGAGACGCGAAAGCGUGGGGAGCAAACAGG